rnacentral:rRNA from 1 species
AUGCCGACGCCGACAACUCAACUAAGCGAAGAUGGUCGAUAUCCGCCGCACCCUCCGGAGAAGUACCACCGCACGCCUAUCACUCUGAAGUUUCGCGUACCAAGCAACACCUUCAGGAAGGAAUGCGACGACGAUGCCGCUGCUGCCCGGACCGGUCCUAGGGUUUCCCCCGGUACGUGGUUGGUAGAUAGGAAGGGGUAUCACCGACGCCCUCAAGAAGGUUCGGCAACGCCCAAGGGCGCAACCACGCCAGUGGCGGACGAGCCGCCAGGGAUUUCUCCCGCCCCGAAACCAACACCAACACAGACAAUCGAGAGUGCACCGCCCAACAUGCCGCCCACCAGCCUGUGCCACCACGGAUAUCGCACCAACUCCACCGUCUCACUGAUGCCACCAACACGAGGCCUCAAGGGAGGACGAGGGGACACCGGGCUCGGAGGAACCGCGACGCAACCGACAGGGGGGAUAGCCCCCACCGCGCCGCGGAGCCGACCAGACAUGCGACAAGGACUUACCAGGCCUCCACAGGCCCGGCCGAACCCCAACGGAUCCGGACAAUCCCUGCCGACACGCUGCAGUACGCCGGCUGCCGGAGCCAUUACCACCUGCAGCCACAAUCGUCUCACCACCACCACCAGGGAGCUGCGCCACCAAGCCCCGAACCGCCGGCUCGCCCAAGCCCAGAUGGGCCCAAAAGGGCCCAGAUCUGGGCCAAGCGGGCGCCGCCGGCCAGCAACACGCCACGCAGCCCCGCAGCCAACGGCCACGCCGUCGCAUCAAGGGCGCUCGAGGACUGCGGACCUCGCCGCCGAGUCACACCGCUACCCGCCGAGCAGCACCGCCGCCGGGAGGAGGGAGCCCCGACCCCACCUCCUAGCGAGCGGGGAAGGGACGUCCGCCACCGUCGGCGCCAUCCGAGCUACGCCGGUGGCCUCUGCCGGCGGCGGCGAAGGAAGAGAUGAGUAG